rnacentral:tRNA from 4 species
GCCCGGGUAGCUCAGUUGGUAGAGCAGCGGACUGAAAAUCCGCGUGUCGGUGGUUCAAGUCCGCCCCCGGGCACCA